rnacentral:rRNA from 1 species
GACGACGCUGGCGGCGUGGAUUAGGCAUGCAAGUCGAACGGUAUCAUCCUUUCGGGGGUGAGAGAGUGGCGAACUGGUGAGUAACACGUAGGUUAUCUACCCUCAAGACGGGGACAACCCAGGGAAACUUGGGCUAAUACCGGAUGUGAGCAACUUUUAGUUGUUUGAAAGGUGGCGUAAGCUGUCGCUUGGGGAUGAGCCUGCGUCCUAUUAGUUAGUUGGUGAGGUAACGGCUCACCUAGGCAAUGAUAGGUAGGCGGCCUUAACGGGUGGUCGCCCACACUGGGAUUGAGAUACGGCCCAGACUCCUACGGGAGGCAGCAGUCGAGAAUAGUCUACAAUGGUCGGAAGACUGAUAGUGCGACGCCGCGUGAACGAUGAAUCCCUUCGGGGUGUAAAGUUCUUUUAUAUGUGAGCAGUGCUUCCUAUAUUAACAGUAUGGGGAGAGAGAUAUUAGCAUAUGAAUAAGCAACGGCUAACUCCGUG